rnacentral:rRNA from 1 species
GAUGAACGCUGGCGGCGUGCCUAAUACAUGCAAGUCGAGCGAAUGGAUUAAGAGCUUGCUCUUAUGAAGUUAGCGGCGGACGGGUGAGUAACACGUGGGUAACCUGCCCAUAAGACUGGGAUAACUCCGGGAAACCGGGGCUAAUACCGGAUAACAUUUUGAACCGCGUGGUUCGAAAUUGAAAGGCGGCUUCGGCUGUCACUUAUGGAUGGACCCGCGUCGCAUUAGCUAGUUGGUGAGGUAACGGCUCACCAAGGCAACGAUGCGUAGCCGACCUGAGAGGGUGAUCGGCCACACUGGGAAUGAAACACGGCCCAGACUCCUACGGGAGGCAGCAGUAGGGAAUCUUCCGCAAUGGACGAAAGUCUGACGGAGCAACGCCGCGUGAGUGAUGAAGGCUUUCGGGUCGUAAAACUCUGUUGUUAGGGAAGAACAAGUGCUAGUUGAAUAAGCUGGCACCUUGACGGUACCUAACCAGAAAGCCACGGCUAACUACGUGCCAGCCGCCGCAGUAA